UGGGGAAUAUUGCACAAUGGGCGCAAGCCUGAUGCAGCCAUGCCGCGUGUGUGAAGAAGGCCUUCGGGUUGUAAAGCACUUUCGAGCGAGGAGGAGGUGGUGACUUAAUACGUUCAUCAAUUGACGUUACUCGCAGAAGAAGCACCGGCUAACUCCGUGCCAGCAGCCGCGGUAAUACGGAGGGUGCAAGCGUUAAUCGGAAUUACUGGGCGUAAAGCGCACGCAGGCGGUUUGUUAAGUCAGAUGUGAAAUCCCCGGGCUCAACCUGGGAACUGCAUUUGAAACUGGCAAGCUAGAGUCUCGUAGAGGGGGGUAGAAUUCCAGGUGUAGCGAUGAAAGUGCGUAGAGAUCUGGAGGAAUACCGGUGGCGAAGGCGGCCCCCUGGACGAAGACUGACGCUCAGGUGCGAAAGCGUGGGGAGCAAACAGGAUUCGGAUACCCUGGCUAGUCCACGCUGUAAACGAUGUCGAUUUUGGAGGUUGUGCCCUUGAGGCGUGGCUUCC
rnacentral:rRNA from 1 species